rnacentral:tRNA from 1 species
GAUAGUUUAAUUGGUAAAAUAACGGUCUCCAAAACCGUAGUUCGAGGUUCGAAUCCUUGUCAUCGU